rnacentral:tRNA from 1 species
UCCAGGGUAGCCUAGUGGACAUGGCAUCUGCCCGGUAAGCGGAACAUUGUGGGUUCGAUUCCCAUCUCUGGAC